GACGGGGGGGGCAAGUGUUCUUCGGAAUUACUGGGCGUAAAGCGCACGUAGGCGGCUUUGUAAGUUAGAGGUGAAAGCCCGGAGCUCAACUCCGGAAUUGCCUUUAAGACUGCAUCGCUUGAAUCAUGGAGAGGUGAGUGGAAUUCCGAGUGUAGAGGUGAAAUUCGUAGAUAUUCGGAAGAACACCAGUGGCGAAGGCGACUCACUGGACAUGUAUUGACGCUGAGGUGCGAAAGCGUGGGGAGCAAACAGG
rnacentral:rRNA from 1 species